AUUGCGAGUGUCGAACAAGAAUAGAUAAUCGACUACUGAGCGAUUAUCGAUUAUCGAACUAUUGCGAGUGUCGAAUGAUCGCUCAGCAAGCGACUGUGAAUGCUUUUUAAUCGAUCAUCUUUCUACAGCCAUUUUCUAGUCGUUGGAGAGUAAAGUUGAUGAAAAAAGAACGAAAAUGGAUAAAAAAUCAAAAGUAGUUAGUAACAAAAAGCAACUAGCGCGAUUAGUGGAGUUGAUGCAAAAAAACAGCGACUUAGGAAAAGGUAUCUGCGGAAAAGUUCAAGGAAAGGCAAGUUGGGAGCGGGUAGCUGUAGAGUUGAACAGUUUGGGACCACCAAUGCGCUCGUGGGAAAAGUGGUUGAAGGUAAAAUACAAUUACAUAUUUGGGGUUUUGUAUUGAGUUUACCUCACAAAGAACUCGUUCAAAUAAAUCAAACAACCGAAUAAUAUUUAAAAUGCUUUAUAACUUAAAAGAUUAUUUAGUCUUUUACAAGAUAAUUACAGGUUAAUAGUUUGCGUUGAUAUAUCGGCAAGCACGUCUAAAUUCGAUGACAUCCAGAAAGAAAAAGGGAAGAUGAACAAUUUUAGUGAUGCCAGAUUGAGUUUUAUUUUACAACUCGGAAAUUAGCGCAGGGUUGCACUAAUUCGCGAAAGUGAAAUUAUUGCCACAAAGUUUGCGGAAAUACAAAUGCCGCCACACAUAUAUAGCUUUCGUAAAUAAGAUACACGUAUUUUAUUAUAGGUGUGGACGGAUCUUCAGAGUAAAACCAGAAAAAAAGCUUCGCAAAAUAAAAUAGAGCUUCGUGCAACUGGUGGGGGUCCAAACAGCUUGCAUACAUUUUCUGCGAUGGAAGAAGCAAUCAUCAGCCUCCUUAAUAUGGAUGUCUGCACUGAUCCACUGUAUAGGGAAGAGCUUAAAAAUAAGGGGAAAAAUAAAGCAGAUAAGCUA